rnacentral:rRNA from 1 species
CCUACGGGUGGCUGCAGUGAGGAAUAUUGGUCAAUGGGCGCGAGCCUGAACCAGCCAAGUAGCGUGAAGGAUGACUGCCCUACGGGUUGUAAACUUCUUUUAUAAAGGAAUAAAGUGAGGCACGUGUGCCUCUUUGUAUGUACUUUAUGAAUAAGGAUCGGCUAACUCCGUGCCAGCAGCCGCGGUAAUACGGAGGAUCCGAGCGUUAUCCGGAUUUAUUGGGUUUAAAGGGAGCGUAGAUGGGUUGUUAAGUCAGGUGUGAAAGUUUGCGGCUCAACCGUAAAAGUGCAAUUGAUACUGGCAGCCUUGAGUGCAGUUAGGGUAGGCGGAAUUCGUGGUGUAGCGGUGAAAUGCUUAGAUAUCACGAAGAACUCCGAUUGCGAAGGCAGCCUACUAAACUGCCACUGACAUUGAUGCUCGAAAGUGUGGGUAUCAAACAGGAUUAGAUACCCUAGUAGUC